CAGCAGUCGCCGCGGGAAUACGAAGGGGGCUAGCGUUGUUCGGAAUUACUGGGCGUAAAGCGCACGUGGGCGGAUAUUUAAGUCAGGGGUGAAAUCCCGCAGCUCAACUGCGGAACUGCCUUUGAUACUGGGUAUCUUGAGUAUGGAAGAGGUUAGUGGAAUUGCGAGUGUAGAGGUGAAAUUCGUAGAUAUUCGCAGGAACACCAGUGGCGAAGGCGGCUAACUGGUCCAUAACUGACGCUGAGGUGCGAAAGCGUGGGGAGCAAACAGGAUUAGAUACCCCCGUAGUCCCUGUCUCUUAUAC
rnacentral:rRNA from 1 species